UGAGGAAUAUUGGUCAAUGGGUGCAAGCCUGAACCAGCCAUCCCGCGUGAAGGACGACUGCCCUAUGGGUUGUAAACUUCUUUUGUAUAGGGAUAAACCUACCCUCGUGAGGGUAGCUGAAGGUACUAUACGAAUAAGCACCGGCUAACUCCGUGCCAGCAGCCGCGGUAAUACGGAGGGUGCGAGCGUUAUCCGGAUUUAUUGGGUUUAAAGGGUCCGUAGGCGGACUUAUAAGUCAGUGGUGAAAGCCUGUCGCUUAACGAUAGAACUGCCAUUGAUACUGUAAGUCUUGAGUAUAUUUGAGGUAGCUGGAAUAAGUAGUGUAGCGGUGAAAUGCAUAGAUAUUACUUAGAACACCAAUUGCGAAGGCAGGUUACCAAGAUAUAACUGACGCUGAGGGACGAAAGCGUGGUGAGCGAACA
rnacentral:rRNA from 1 species